UGAGGAGAGAGAAAGUUGAGUGGAAGAUGAGUAAUAUGACGUGACGCGAAGGUGGCACAAAAAAUGGAGGAAGAUUCCUCAAUCGGUGGCUCUCCACCUAAGGUAGCAGUGGCACAUCGCCCAAAGUGGCGCACGGUUCCCAAGAGGUGGAGGCACACUGCCCGAGGUGGCAGUACGCCUCCCCAAGAUGGCCACACACUGUAAGCACCAGCAUAUCCUACCGAGCGCAAGGCCUACAGCAUGCAGGGUGCUGCAAGUAGGCCUACUGUGCGGAUGGCGCGUGCACAGGGUGCACAGCACUUGGCCCUGUCCCUGCGUGAUGUGACACGAGCGGACUGGCCUGUCUAUGUGGGAUGGGACGCGCACGCAAACUUGCCCUGCACCCUGCAUGAAUGAGAUGUUCACAUAGUGCGCACAUCCCACAUUGGCUGCAUG
rnacentral:lncRNA from 1 species